AUAAUGGGUCAGCGACUUAUAUUCUGUAGCAAGGUUAACCGAAUAGGGGAGCCGAAGGGAAACCGAGUCUUAACUGGGCGUUAAGUUGCAGGGUAUAGACCCGAAACCCGGUGAUCUAGCCAUGGGCAGGUUGAAGGUUGGGUAACACUAACUGGAGGACCGAACCGACUAAUGUUGAAAAAUUAGCGGAUGACUUGUGGCUGGGGGUGAAAGGCCAAUCAAACCGGGAGAUAGCUGGUUCUCCCCGAAAGCUAUUUAGGUAGCGCCUCGUGAAUUCAUCUCCGGGGGUAGAGCACUGUUUCGGCAAGGGGGUCAUCCCGACUUACCAACCCGAUGCAAACUGCGAAUACCGGAGAAUGUUAUCACGGGAGACACACGGCGGGUGCUAACGUCCGUCGUGAAGAGGGAAACAACCCAGACCGCCAGCUAAGGUCCCAAAGUCAUGGUUAAGUGGGAAACGAUGUGGGAAGGCCCAGACAGCCAGGAUGUUGGCUUAGAAGCAGCCAUCAUUUAAAGAAAGCGUAAUAGCUCACUGGUCGAGUCGGCCUGCGCGGAAGAUGUA
rnacentral:rRNA from 1 species